CAAGAGCCAGCAUCCAGCCUCGUACGAAUCCAAUGAUAAAGCCACCAACGAAGGUUGUCACAAGCUUGUCUGCAGACAUUCUUGAAGCUGCUUCCGCAGUUGUCAUCUCUACGUCAAAGAAUGCAAUGUCUUGCCUGAGAACAGCUUCGAGGUAUAGCGAUCGCAGCCGUGUCGACUGCCUUUCUCCAGCCACUGUCCAACAUGACACCUCUGGAGCAGCUGCUACGAGGUCGUUCUUUACUUGGUUCAAGUUGUAAGUAGAAUAUUAGCCACAUGGUGAAGCACCGAAGUUGUGAAGUAUUGGUACUAAGAUAAUGUGAAUAACCGAAAAUGUCGGAGUCUUAGCAAAUACCCCAAGUUGUGACCGUGUGAAUAGCCAUGCAUCCAAUUGGCAGUGCCCAAUUUGUACUCUUGGGAACUUUGUGAAUGAGCUACAAUAACGAAAGUUUCCGUUUUCUUUGUUUGAGCUUUCACUGCUUCUAUGACCCGACAAGAACGCCAGCUGUGCCAACUCCUAUGUAGCUAUUGGGCAUCAUUCAUUCACUCAUUCUUACAUUUAUAUGGUCCAAGUCCAAACAUAUACUCCCUCCAGUAU